CCACCGUCCCGUGGUUGUAGCGCUCGCAAGGCCGCGGGUGGCAGAUGUAGUCUCCGUGACUCACCAUUGGAGGCCCUGGGAUGACAGCCCAGGCAGAUGAACUCCAUGGAGAACUGAGGGAGCACUCUGGAAAACAGCAGUGGGGAAAGCAGCUCACAAGCAGUAUUUUUACAAGAGGAAACUUUUCCACGGUAGGCAGUUCCUGGCUGGCUCAGUGCCCCAUCUACAGGCCCUUCCCUUCACUUCAUGCCGCUCCCAUGCAGGCAAGACCUGCUGCAUUGAUUUAAAUAAUGAAAAUGACAUCUCUUGGAAGAAGAAUCUUCCCAGAAAUUACA